CAGACAAAUCUCGGCUCUGUUAGUGACAAGUGAUGAUUGAGGGAUUUGUAUUGAACUGUUUGUGUAUGUGUGUGCUUUUGAUAGUGGUAUAAUAAUCGAGAUUCUCUCAAAUUCUGGUUUAGUCGUGCAUUAGUAUCAUUUGUUAUUGAGAAAGAUAGGAAAUUCUAUUGAAUUCAAAUACAAAUUUUUUUGUAUGAUGAGUUCUGCUUCGUUCAAUUGCACUUUAUGAGUCAUCUCUAACUUAAGCAGUGGUUUUAAAUUGACAUUAUCUUGGUAGAGACAGUGUUUGUAGCGACUAAUCAGAACUUAAUGCCUUUUAAUGAAAGUAUGGAGGACUAUGAAUCUGAGGUGUCGGUCAUUGACGUUUAUGACAUUGCAUCUGAAAUUGGUAAGGAAUUUGAAAAGAUAAUAGAUUGCUAUGGAUCUGAAGCUGUGACCGGGCUGAUGCCCAAAGUGAUAACAGCUUUAGAACACUUAGAAGUGCUUGCCACAAAAAAUGAACGUGAAAAUUCUAAUGUCCAAGAUUUGGAAGCAAAGAUACUAAAAUUGGAAAGUGAUAAACUAGAAAAAGCAGAAGACAGACUUCGGUAUGAAAGGGAGCUUGAAUUAAUAGAAGAACAUUGGAAAAAGGAAACUCAAGAUUUAGAAUCAGUUGUUAACACUCUGCAGGAUGAAAACCGCAAGCUGAAGAACGCUCUGGCUGCUAAACAAGACUUACCAGCUCAACAAAUGGCUCCAGAAGUAGAUAUUGCAGCUCUUCAACGCCUUCGGGGAAUGGUUGACCAAUUACGUGACAACCUCAGAAAGGCUGAUCGGGAAAUUAGCUCAAAAAAUUCAGAAAUUGACGAAUUAUCAAGUCAGGUGAAGAGGAUGACGAAUUUGAAGAAAGAAAUGAGUCGCAAGCAGCGGCUAAUGCAGUUCCAGGUGCGUGGGCUUGUGGAUGAGAGGGCAGACUUCCUCGCCCAGAUACAAGAUCUAAGCCAUGCCAAUAUAGCUUUGAGGGAACAACUUGGCGAAGCAGUGCAAGAAAAUGCUCUUCUCUUCAAUGCUUGUAAAGACAACUGUACAGAAGCACAAGAGGAUCCUAACAGACCUCGAUUCACAACAGCUGAGCUGAAAGAGAUUCUUCACGAACGUAACAAUCUGAAAGCAAGAGUCAGUGACUUAGAAGACGAACUAGAAACUUUUCGUCCCAAACAAGAACCAGAGUCGCCAUCUGAGCCAGAAGCUAUGGAGGAUAUGGAGGUGUGUACAAGUUGACCAAACACUCUCUUAGUAGUGGGUUGGCCUUUGUCAUCUCCUCUCAGCACCAUCCAUGUCUCUACGGCCCUUGGACGAGGAUUCAACCGUGCAGGGACCUCUACCCUACGAACCUGAUGAUGCUCCAUGGAAGAAAUCUGAUUCUGGAAUCCGCAAAUUUUUUCGAAAACUGUUCAGUGAAUCCAACAUUACUUUCCUUGGAAGC
rnacentral:misc_RNA from 1 species